GCAAACAGUGCAUGGCGCGUCAGAAGGGAGUGGUGCGGCAGUUUGCGCAGGCAGGGCGGGCAGAGAAGGCAGAGCGUUCCCCCCCCCUGCCCAUACGAACAACUCCUCUAACGGCUGUCGACCGCUAGUUGAGAGUUUUUGCUGAUGGGCUGUGCUGCCAGCUGAUCUAUUUCCAAAAGCACUUGCUGACAGAUAAUUGACCAUCUGACCACUGUGAUCCACAUAGCUGUGGAACUGAAUGGAAAAAAAAGGAAUAUGUCACUUUGGCCUGGAAAUUGAAAUACUUUAAAAAAGAGGAAGAAGAAAGACAAAAAAUAAAUAAAUAAAAAUAAAAAUAAGAA